AAAGUUUUCAGAUCGGGACUUCGGAGCCUGUUCGCGACUAGGUUGAUGGGUUUAUUCAGAUCGGCACUUCGGAGCCUGUUCCACCUCGGUUGAUUCAGAUCGGCAAUUCGGAGCAUAUUCGCGACUAGGAGACGCGCUGCGAGGACCAAACACAGCAGAACG